CAGUAGCCGCGGUAAUACAGAGGGUGCAAGCGUUAAUCGGAAUUACUGGGCGUAAAGCGCGCGUAGGUGGUUUGUUAAGUUGGAUGUGAAAUCCCCGGGCUCAACCUGGGAACUGCAUCCAAAACUGGCAAGCUAGAGUAUGGUAGAGGGUGGUGGAAUUUCAUGUGUAGCGGUGAAAUGCGUAGAUAUAGGAAGGAACACAAGUGGCGAAGGCGACCACCUGGACUGAUACUGACACUGAGGUGCGAAAGCGUGGGGAGCAAACAGGAUUAGAUACCCCUGUAGUCCCUGUCUCUUAUAC
rnacentral:rRNA from 1 species